AUUGUGCAUUGUCCUUUGCUGAAAGUAUAAAAAACGUAGGAUAUGACACAUUUCCAUGGAGGCUGAAGAGAAGAGAGACAAGGUAAAAUGUGGAGGGCUUACAUAGGCCCACAAUAGUUGCAAUCCACAAGUGUCUAUGACAUCUGAAAGUCGUGGGAGUGUCAUGGUAGAAGUUCUUGCUUUUGCACAGGUUUGUUUAGAUGUUGUCAAGUACUGAUAGCACUGUAGGUUUCUUCUCAUAACCUAAUUUUUCUGGAUUUGCCAAUUUGACCAGGCAUAUAAAGUUUCUCUGAACAAGAUUACCGGUCUCACCUGUCACUCUGAUCAGGUUAAGAGUCAUUUACAAGAUGGCUGACUCUUUGUUCUGAGCUUCCAAGUUACCAUUUCCUUGAACAAUAAAUCAGCUUUGUAGUUCCAAGUUUUCCCAACUUCUGGUGGAUGUUUGCAUCUCUUGCUGGUUGACAACGAGCUUGAGGAAUCCACUAAAAGAGAUUGCAGUGCUAGCAUUGUAAGAUACUUAACAAGUUAUGCAGAAGCGUCUAACCUGUGCUGAAAACAGAUCCCAUGAACCAUCUUUCCCUGUAUGAAUAUGAAGCAAGCGCAAGUAUGAUGACACAUGGAAGAUUGUGCAGUCUCUAUUAUGAAUUAUUACUACAUUCCUGGCUUGCCAAGAGUGACAUGUCCCAGGUGUUUAGCAUUUGUUGUUCACGAACUCAUUUGACGUGUUAAGAAUUUGCAGCCUUGCAGGUAGUUAGAAUUGCUGAUUCAUCCCAGUUAAGGGCAAGAAUAUUGGUUUGCUACCCAUACAUAUCAACUCCAGAUGCAUAUUUUCGGGAAUUUGGCAUUCCAGAAGCUUCUCUGAACUUCCUGCAGCUCCGGACAGAGAGAGGAAGAGGGGUUCCUGCUUGGUGCUUGCUGAAUGUCCUGCGAAUUUCAUCUGCACGGAUUGCUUAUGCAUUGCUUAGUGGAUUUUUGGUUUCAAAUAGCAUGUCUUUUACCCGUUAAGUAGCCCUUUUUUAACCCAUUGUUCUGGAUUGCAUAAAUGUCAAAUUUCGCCUGAAAUGCUCACAUAUUCUUCUAUGAGAUUACGUGCAUCACUAGUGUGUCACCUUCCUUCGACACUUGAAGCUGGAGUUUGACGUUUCAUUUCGUUCAAACCGUGGAAUAGUUGCUGCGAUUAAACUUGUGUCUGUAAGAAAAUAAAGAAGGAAACAUCAUUUUUUGUC